ensembl:snoRNA Gm24580 small nucleolar RNA SNORA17
CCUGCCACUAGAGGGGAUGCAGGUGUGGCUGUUGUGUCACAUGUGUGUCAGUAGGUGACAGAGAGGAAAGAGCUUAUGUCUACACUAGAUGUUCUGACUUGGAACAUCUGAAUGAUUAGCAGCCUAAUACU